UAACGGGGUGCUGCAGUGAGGAAUAUUGCACAAUGGGGGGAACCCUGAUGCAGCAACGCCGCGUGGAGGAUGACGCAUUUCGGUGUGUAAACUCCUUUUAUAUGUCAAGAAAAUGACGGUAGCAUAUGAAUAAGCACCGGCUAACUCCGUGCCAGCAGCCGCGGUAAUACGGAGGGUGCAAGCGUUACUCGGAAUCACUGGGCAUAAAGGACGCGUAGGCGGGUUGGAAAGUCAGGUGUGAAAUCCUACAGCUUAACUGUAGAACUGCACUUGAAACUUCUAAUCUAGAGUAUGGGAGGGGGAGAUGGAAUUAGUGGUGUAGGGGUAAAAUCCGUAGAUAUCACUAGGAAUACCUAAAGCGAAGGCGAUCUCCUGGAACAUUACUGACGCUAAGGCGUGAAAGCGUGGGGAGCAAACAGGAUUAGAUACCCGAGUAGUC
rnacentral:rRNA from 1 species